GACGAACGCUGGCGGCGUGCUUAACACAUGCAAGUCGAACGGAAAGGCCCUGCUUUUGUGGGGUUCUCGAGUGGCGAACGGGUGUGUAACACGUGAGUAACCUGCCCUUGACUUUGGGAUAACUUCAGGAAACUGGGGCUAAUACCGGAUAGGAGCUCCUGCAGCAUGGGGGGGGUUGGAAAUUUUCGGCGGUUGGGGAUGGACUCGCGGCUUAUGAGCUUGUUGGGGGGGUAGUGGCGUACCAAGGGUUUGACGGGUAGCCGGCCUGAGAGGGUGACCGGCGACAUUGGUACUGAGGUACGGACCAGACUCGUACGGUAGGCAGCAGUGGAGAAUAUUGCACAGUGGGCCGAAGUCUGAUGCAGAGACGCCGCGAUCGUGAUGACGGCCUACUGGUUGUAAACCGCUUUCGCCUGUGACGAAGCGUUAGUGACGGUACUGGGUCAAGAAGCACCGGCUAACUACGUG
rnacentral:rRNA from 1 species